rnacentral:rRNA from 1 species
UACGUAGGUGGCAAGCGUUAUCCGGAAUUAUUGGGCGUAAAGAGCGCGCAGGUGGUUGAUUAAGUCUGAUGUGAAAGCCCACGGCUUAACCGUGGAGGGUCAUUGGAAACUGGUCGACUUGAGUGCAGGAGAGGGAAGUGGAAUUCCAAGUGUAGCGGUGGAAUGCGUAGAUAUUUGGAGGAACACCAGUGGCGAAGGCGGCUCUCUGGACUGUAACUGACACUGAGGCACGAAAGCGUGGGGAGCAAACAGGAUUAGAUACCCGU